rnacentral:rRNA from 1 species
UACGUAGGGUGCGAGCGUUAAUCGGAAUUACUGGGCGUAAAGCGUGCGCAGGCGGUUUUGUAAGCCAGUCGUGAAAUCCCCGGGCUUAACCUGGGAAUGGCGAUUGGGACUGCAAGGCUGGAGUAUGGCAGGGGAGACUGGAACUCCUGGUGUAGCAGUGAAAUGCGUAGAUAUCAGGAGGAAUACCGAUGGCGUAGGCAGGUCUCUGGGCUGAUACUGACGCUCAUGCACGAAAGCGUGGGGAGCAAACAGG